UGUAUAUAUGACUCUGUAUAUAAGUUUUUUGUUUGUUUGUUUGUUUGUUUGUUUGUUUUUCCUGGACAACUGAAUCAUAGAGUCAUAGAAUCAUAGAAUGGCCUGGGUUGUAAGGGACCUCAAAGAUCAUCUAGUUCCAACCCCCCUACCAUAGACAGGAACACCACCCACUUGCUCAGGGCCUCUUCUAACCUGGUCUUGAGCCAGGGAUGGGGCAUCCACAAACUCUCUGGAAAACCUGGUCCAGUGUGUAAACGCUAUUUUUGACUACUCCUUUUUAGACUUGAAAUACAUACACACAAGAAACAUAUUUCUUUCAGUCCAGAUAUGAGCAUGGGUCUGCACAAAAAUAGCAAUUAAUUUAUUCAGAAUCUCAGUUUUAUAUUGUAUACUGACAUUGACAAGCACAUUUCUGGAGGCUUAAGUGUACUAUGCUACAUAUGUAGGUGGAGAUUGGUACUAAAAAAAAAAAUGAGGACACAAAAUAGGAUCUUUCUAACACUUAAACUGGCACCUUGGCUAGUAAUACAAUUACAUGUCCUUCAUGAAGUUGAAGAACUGAGAUUUAUCGUGAUUAAUUUUGGACACAGACCACAGGAAAUAC
rnacentral:lncRNA from 1 species